UAAGGGUCCAACUCCACGGGGAAGCUUUCUCUCCGCUUCUCAUACACUCUCUGCGCUCUUAAUUCUUUUUCUCUCUACCCCCCCCCACCUUCUCGUGUCUCCUGUCUGUCUCCCGCCACUGUAAUAAACUCUAUGGCUUGGGCUUCGUCACACCCGUCCCCAUUUCACACCUUUGACUUUCUAAUUUUCAAACUUUUGCAACAGAACAGCUGGGGAGAGAUGCCCACCCUCCACCCCCACCCUUGAAACCCAUCAACAUCUAAGACAGGAGGGAGAGUUGGCCCUGAGAAAACAAGUGUGGGAGAGUUAUCCCUGCUCCCCACAGCCUACAACACUCAAGAGAGCAGGCCCCGCACUUCACCAGGGCAGCGCAACAGAGCCAACCCGGUUAGUGGAGGUGUAGGUGAGCCAACCCCAAAACUGUAUGCAUGGGAGAGCCCUCCUCAUUUCUCUUCUGUCUUGUGGAAUAAAAGAAACUAUCAAACUCUCCUCCAAGUGGAUAAGCUAUUCUGCAUUCCUAUCAGCCAAAGGUCUUUUCAGAUGAUGGCGACUGGCUCACUACAGUUCGCUGACCCAUGACUACACAUGAGGUCAUGUGACACUCACUGCUAUUUCUUAGCAGAAAGAAUGGCUGAAUAAAGGAAACUUAAGGGAGGAACAUUUUUGAAGUAAUAAAAAGCUGAAGUUACUCAAAUCAUAGACAUCGUCUAAGACUAACAAACACGAGUCUUCAAUUCCCGGCCCUGAUGGACCGAGAAGCAAGCAACACUUAGCACCAGAUGGCAAAGGACAGAAAAAAUGAGAAAGCUGGGUUA